CAACCUGCCCACCACUUGGGGAUAACCUUGCGAAAGUAAGACUAAUACCCAAUGAUAUCUCUAGAAGACAUCUGAAAGAGAUUAAAGAUUUAUCGGUGAUGGAUGGGGAUGCGUCUGAUUAGUUUGUUGGCGGGGUAACGGCCCACCAAGGCGACGAUCAGUAGGGGUUCUGAGAGGAAGGUCCCCCACAUUGGAACUGAGUCACGGUCCAAACUCCUACGGGAGGCAGCAGUGAGGAAUAUUGGUCAAUGGACGAGAGUCUGAACCAGCCAAGUAGCGUGCAGGAUGGCGGCCCUAUGGGUUGUAAACUGCUUUUAUAAGGGAAUAAAGUGAGUCUCGUGAGACUUUUUGCAUGUACCUCAUGAAUAAGGACCGGCUAAUUCCGUGCCAGCAGCCGCGGUAUACGGAAGGUCCGGGCGUUAUCCGGAUUUAUUGGGUUUAAAGGGAGCGUAGGCCGGAGAUUAAGCGUGUUGUGAAAUGUAGACGCUCAACGUCUGCACUGCAGCGCGAACUGGUUUCCUUGAGUACGCACAAAGUGGGCGGAAUUCGUGGUGUAGCGGUGAAAUGCUUAGAUAUCACGAAGAACUCCGAUUG
rnacentral:rRNA from 1 species